UGCAAGUCGAGCGGACCGACGGGAGCUUGCUCCCUUAGGUCAGCGGCGGACGGGUGAGUAACACGUGGGUAACCUGCCUGUAAGACUGGGAUAACUCCGGGAAACCGGGGCUAAUACCGGAUGCUUGAUUGAACCGCAUGGUUCAAUCAUAAAAGGUGGCUUUUAGCUACCACUUACAGAUGGACCCGCGGCGCAUUAGCUAGUUGGUGAGGUAACGGCUCACCAAGGCGACGAUGCGUAGCCGACCUGAGAGGGUGAUCGGCCACACUGGGACUGAGACACGGCCCAGACUCCUACGGGAGGCAGCAGUAGGGAAUCUUCCGCAAUGGACGAAAGUCUGACGGAGCAACGCCGCGUGAGUGAUGAAGGUUUUCGGAUCGUAAAACUCUGUUGUUAGGGAAGAACAAGUACCGUUCGAAUAGGGCGGUACCUUGACGGUACCUAACCAGAAAGCCACGGCUAACUACGUGCCAGCAGCCGCGGUAAUACGUAGGUGGCAAGCGUUGUCCGGAAUUAUUGGGCGUAAAGCGCGCGCAGGCGGUUUCUUAAGUCUGAUGUGAAAGCCCCCGGCUCAACCGGGGAGGGUCAUUGGAAACUGGGGAACUUGAGUGCAGAAGAGGAGAGUGGAAUUCCACGUGUAGCGGUGAAAUGCGUAGAGAUGUGGAGGAACACCAGUGGCGAAGGCGACUCUCUGGUCUGUAACUGACGCUGAGGCGCGAAAGCGUGGGGAGCGAACAGGAUUAGAUACCCUGGUAGUCCACGCCGUAAACGAUGAGUGCUAAGUGUUAGAGGGUUUCCGCCCUUUAGUGCUGCAGCAAACGCAUUAAGCACUCCGCCUGGGGAGUACGGUCGCAAGACUGAAACUCAAAGGAAUUGACGGGGGCCCGCACAAGCGGUGGAGCAUGUGGUUUAAUUCGAAGCAACGCGAAGAACCUUACCAGGUCUUGACAUCCUCUGACAACCCUAAAAAUAGGGCUUCCCCUUCGGGGGCAAAAUGACAGGGGGUGCAUGG
rnacentral:rRNA from 1 species